CAACCCUCACGCCCCGCGUGGUCUUGGGCCGAGCCCCCCGGGCUGGCCUCAAAAGCAGUGGCGGUGCCUCUGGGUCCUGAGCGUAGUAACACUUCCGCUACAGGGCUCCCGAGCGUGCUGGCCGAACCCCAACUCUUCA
rnacentral:misc_RNA from 1 species